rnacentral:rRNA from 1 species
UAGGGAAUCUUCGGCAAUGGACGAAAGUCUGACCGAGCAACGCCGCGUGAGUGAAGAAGGUUUUCGGAUCGUAAAACUCUGUUGUUAGAGAAGAACAAGGACGUUAGUAACUGAACGUCCCCUGACGGUAUCUAACCAGAAAGCCACGGCUAACUACGUGCCAGCAGCCGCGGUAAUACGUAGGUGGCAAGCGUUGUCCGGAUUUAUUGGGCGUAAAGCGAGCGCAGGCGGUUUCUUAAGUCUGAUGUGAAAGCCCCCGGCUCAACCGGGGAGGGUCAUUGGAAACUGGGAGACUUGAGUGCAGAAGAGGAGAGUGGAAUUCCAUGUGUAGCGGUGAAUUGCGUAGAUAUAUGGAGGAACACCAGUGGCGAAGGCGGCUCUCUGGUCUGUAACUGACGCUGAGGCGCGAAAGCGUGGGGAGCAAACAGG